rnacentral:rRNA from 1 species
GGGUAACCUGCCUUAUGGAGGGGGAUAACAGAGAGAAAUCACUGCUAAUACCGCAUAAGCACACAUUGCCGCAUGGCAGAGUGUGAAAAGAUUUAUCGCCAUAAGAUGGACCCGCGUCUGAUUAGCCAGUUGGCAGGGUAAAAGCCUACCAAAGCAACGAUCAGUAGCCGAUCUGAGAGGAUGACCGGCCACAUUGGGACUGAGACACGGCCCAAACUCCUACGGGAGGCAGCAGUGGGGAAUAUUGCACAAUGGGGGAAACCCUGAUGCAGCGACGCCGCGUGAGUGAAGAAGUAUUUCGGUAUGUAAAGCUCUAUCAGCAGGGAAGAUAAUGACAGUACCUGACUAAGAAGCCCCGGCUAACUACGUGCCAGCAGCCGCGGUAAUACGUAGGGGGCAAGCGUUAUCCGGAUUUACUGGGUGUAAAGGGAGCGUAGACGGAGUGGCAAGUCUGAAGUGAAAACCCUGGGCUUAACCUGGGGACUGCUUUGGAAACUGUUAAUCUAGAGUGUUGGAGAGGUAAGUGGAAUUCCUGGUGUAGCGGUGAAAUGCGUAGAUAUCAGGAAGAACACCGGAGGCGAAGGCGGCUUACUGGACAAUAACUGA